GACGAACCGUGCGAACGUUGUUCGGAAUCACUGGGCUUAAAGGGCUUGUAGGUGGCCAACUAAGUCAGACGUGAAAUCCCUCGGCUUAACCGGGGAACUGCGUCUGAUACUGGAUGGCUGGAGUGUGGGAGAGGGAUGCGGAAUUCCAGGUGUAGCGGUGAAAUGCGUAGAUAUCUGGAGGAACACCGGUGGCGAAGGCGGCAUCCUGGACCAUUACUGACACUGAAAAGCGAAAGCCAGGGGAGCAAACGGG
rnacentral:rRNA from 1 species